rnacentral:other from 1 species
CGUCCUCUGCCGUGAGCGACGGCGUGCGCAACAUUCGCCUUGUCCCUUAAUAACGACACCGGGGGCGUACUGGUUGCCGGGCGUGCAAGUCCGCCUAGAGCGGGAAGCCCGAUGGCCGCCACGCGUUCCCACUUGAACCCCGGGUUCAAGGUCGUUUCGCAUGCAUCGCCACGGCGGAGACCCU